CACGUAGGGUGCGAGCGUUGUCCGGAAUUAUUGGGCGUAAAGAGCUCGUAGGCGGUGUGUCGCGUCGGCCGUGAAAACCUGCAGCUUAACUGUGGGCUUGCGGUCGAUACGGGCAUCACUGGAGUUCGGCAGGGGAGACUGGAAUUCCUGGUGUAGCGGUGAAAUGCGCAGAUAUCAGGAGGAACACCGGUGGCGAAGGCGGGUCUCUGGGGCGAUACUGACGCUGAGGAGCGAAAGCGUGGGGAGCGAACAGG
rnacentral:rRNA from 1 species